CCUACGGGAGGCAGCAGUGGGGAAUAUUGGGCAAUGGGCGAAAGCCUGACCCAGCAACGCCGCGUGAAGGAAGAAGGCUUUCGGGUUGUAAACUUCUUUUCUGAGGGACGAAAAAAGUGACGGUACCUAAGGAAUAAGCCACGGCUAACUACGUGACAGCAGCCGCGGUAAUACGUAGGUGGCAAGCGUUAUCCGGAUUUAUUGGGUGUAAAGGGCGAGUAGGCGGGAUAGCAAGUCAGAUGUGAAAGCUCAGGGCUCAACCCUGGGACUGCAUUUGAAACUGUUUUUCUUGAGUGCUGGAGAGGCAAUCGGAAUUCCGGGUGUAGCGGUGAAAUGCGUAGAUAUAAGGAGGAACACCAGUGGCGAAGGCGGAUUGCUGGACAGUAACUGACGCUGAGGCGCGAAAGCGUGGGGAGCAAACAGGAUUAGAUACCCCUGUAGUC
rnacentral:rRNA from 1 species